UACGUAGGGAGCAAGCGUUGUCCGGAAUCACUGGGCGUAAAGGGCGCGUAGGCGGCGCGGGGAGUCAACGGUGAAAGCUCGGCGCUCAACGCCGAGUCGGCCGUCGAUACUCCCGUGCUCGAGCACUGUAGAGGCAGGUGGAAUUCCGGGUGUAGCGGUGGAAUGCGUAGAGAUCCGGAAGAACACCGGUGGCGAAGGCGGCCUGCUGGGCAGUAGCUGACGCUGAGGCGCGACAGCGUGGGGAGCAAACAGG
rnacentral:rRNA from 1 species